rnacentral:rRNA from 1 species
AUACGAAGGGGGCUAGCGUUGUUCGGAAUCACUGGGCGUAAAGCGCGCGUAGGCGGUCAUGCAAGUCAGAGGUGAAAUGCCGGGGCUUAACCCCGGAACUGCCUUUGAAACUGUAUGACUGGAGUCUUGGAGGGGGUAGUGGAAUUCCGAGUGUAGAGGUGAAAUUCGUAGAUAUUCGGAAGAACACCAGUGGCGAAGGCGACAUACUGGCUCAUUACUGACGCUGAGGCUCGAAAGCGUGGGGAGC